UACGUAGGGUGCGAGCGUUGUCCGGAAUUAUUGGGCGUAAAGAGCGUGUAGGCGGCCUGAAAGGUCAGCUGUGAAAACUCGAGGCUCAACCUCGAGACGUCGGUUGAAACCAUCUGGCUAGAGUCCGGAAGAGGAAUGUGGAAUUCCCGGUGUAGCGGUGAAAUGCGCAGAUAUCGGGAAGAACACCCGUGGCGAAGGCGGCACUCUGGGACGGUACUGACGCUGAGACGCGAAAGCGUGGGGAGCGAACAGG
rnacentral:rRNA from 1 species